rnacentral:rRNA from 1 species
GACGUAGGGCGCGAGCGUUGUCCGGAUUUAUUGGGCGUAAAGAGCUCGUAGGCGGUUUGUCGCGUCUGCUGUGAAAUCCCGAGGCUCAACCUCGGGCCUGCAGUGGGUACGGGCAGACUUGAGUGGUGUAGGGGAGACUGGAAUUCCUGGUGUAGCGGUGAAAUGCGCAGAUAUCAGGAGGAACACCGGUGGCGAAGGCGGGUCUCUGGGCCGAUACUGACGCUGAGGAGCGAAAGCGUGGGGAGCGAACAGG